rnacentral:rRNA from 1 species
AUUGAACGCUGGCGGCAUGCUUUACACAUGCAAGUCGAACGGUAACAGGCCGCAAGGUGCUGACGAGUGGCGAACGGGUGAGUAAUGCAUCGGAACGAGCCCAGUCGUGGGGGAUAACGCAGCGAAAGCUGUGCUAAUACCGCAUACGAUCUGGGGAUGAAAGCGGGGGCCCGUAAGGCCUCGCGCGAUUGGAGGGGCCGAUGUCAGAUUAGGUAGGUGGUGGGGUACAGGCUCACCAAGCCAACGAUCUGUAGCUGGUCUGAGAGGACGACCAGCCACACUGGGACUGAGACACGGCCCAGACUCCUACGGGAGGCAGCAGUGGGGAAUUUUGGACAAUGGGCGCAAGCCUGAUCCAGCAAUGCCGCGUGCAGGAAGAAGGCCUUCGGGUUGUAAACUGCUUUUGUACGGAACGAAAAGCCCUGGGUUAAUACCCUGGGGUCAUGACGGUACCGUAAGAAUAAGCACCGGCUAACUACGUGCCAGCCGCCGCCGUAAAAC